UUAAUUGAAGAGUUUGAUCAUGGCUCAGAUUGAACGCUGGCGGCAGGCCUAACACAUGCAAGUCGAGCGGUAACAGAGAGUAGCUUGCUACUUUGCUGACGAGCGGCGGACGGGUGAGUAAUGCUUGGGAACAUGCCUUGAGGUGGGGGACAACAGUUGGAAACGACUGCUAAUACCGCAUAAUGUCUACGGACCAAAGGGGGCUUCGGCUCUCGCCUUUAGAUUGGCCCAAGUGGGAUUAGCUAGUUGGUGAGGUAAUGGCUCACCAAGGCGACGAUCCCUAGCUGGUUUGAGAGGAUGAUCAGCCACACUGGGACUGAGACACGGCCCAGACUCCUACGGGAGGCAGCAGUGGGGAAUAUUGCACAAUGGGCGCAAGCCUGAUGCAGCCAUGCCGCGUGUGUGAAGAAGGCCUUCGGGUUGUAAAGCACUUUCAGUCAGGAGGAAAGGUUAGUAGUUAAUACCUGCUAGCUGUGA
rnacentral:rRNA from 1 species